rnacentral:lncRNA from 1 species
CCUAACGCAUCAUACAAGUGAACUCGAACAGCACACAAUCAAUAGGAAGAACUGGAUCUUAUAUACACCAUAUGAAUUACACAGUGAGUAUGAACAAAUUGAAUGGUAAAAUUAGACCAGUGAUACAAGCAGCACACAAAUUGAGCACCAUAGCACUUAUUUUAAGCAACGUAAUUAUGAUCAAUGCAUAACAUGACAGACAUUGCUCAUUUGAAUUGCAAUUUGCUAGCAAAUGAUUGCCCAAAGUUCCAACCCUUUGGCACAACGUUGUUGAAUACAAGCGUGUGUCCAUCACUGUUGGUUAGUCUAAAGGCGAGCAUCUUGCCGGUGAGGUUAGCCAUAUGAAUUACACAGUGAGUAUGAACAAAUUGAAUGGUAAAAUUAGACCAGUGAUACAAGCAGCACACAAAUUGAGCACGAUAGCACUUAUUUUAAGCAACGUAAUUAUUCAAAAGGAAUACAUAAUAUCCAUUUCCUAACUGGAUAUUUUUCUGUGCCUGUAUGUUAGCAGGUUACCAUACAUAGCAAAGGGCAUAAUCUAUUUACUUAAUGCAUCAUAAAAGUAAAUUCAAACAGUACACAGUUGAUAUAAUAAACACAAUACAAAUUUGCUAGCACAGUGAGUAUAUACACCAUACGAAUUACACAGUGAGUAUGAACAAAUUUAAUGGUAAGAUUAGAUCAGUGCUACAACAAGCAGCACACACAUUAAGCACCAUAACUAGUAUUUUACACAACAUAAUUAUGACAAAUCCAUAGCUCGGUAGACAUUGUUCACUAGAAUUGCAAUUUGCUAGCAAAUGAUUGCCCAAAGUUCCACCCCUUUGGCACAAUGUUGUUGAAUACAAGCGUGUGUCCAUCAGUGUUGGUUAGCCUGAAGGAGAGCAUCUUGCCGGUGAGGUUAGCCAGCGAGUGCCAGUUAGCGCCCCAGUUGCGUGCCAUAGGCGUCCAGUCCUCGGAAUCAGAGCACUUCACAUCCAUGGACUGGAUCGAGCCUGUUGCAGCAACGUUGCUCACAAGCACAAGAAUGAAGUAAUCGUGACCAUUA